rnacentral:rRNA from 1 species
AUCCUGCCGGAGAUUACUGCUAUUAGAAUUUGACUAAGCCNUGCGAGUCAGAGGUUUUUAUAAUACUGGCAAAAGGCUGAGUAACACGUAGUCAACUUGNNNUAAGUCAAGCAUACCCUUGGGAAACUGAGGUUAAUUCNUGAUAGGAAAUAUUUUCUGNNNGAUAUAUUUCUUAAAGUUACGACGCUUAAGGAUAGGACUGCGGUGGAUUAGGUUGUUGUUGGGGUAAAGGCCCAACAAGCCGAUAAUCUAUAGGGGCUGUGAGAGCAGUAGCCCUCAGAUGGAUUCUGAGACACGAAUCCAGACCCUACGGGGUGCAGCAGGCGCGAAACCUUCACAAUGCACAAUAUGUGUGAUGGGGAGAUUCUAAGUGGCAGCAUAACGCUGUCUUUUGAAGAGUUAAAACAUCUUUUCGAAUAAGUGGUGGGUAAGACGGUUGCCAGCCGCCGCGGUAAUAACCGCGCCACAAGUGGUAAUCUCGAUUAUUGGGUCUAAAGCAUCCGUAGCCGGUGAUAUAAGUUUCCUGUGAAAUCCAAAUGAAAACAUUUGGGCACGCAGAAAAUACUGUAUCACUUGAGACUGGGAGGAGCAAGAGGUACUCGAGGGGAAGGGGUAAAAUCUAUUAAUCCCUCGGGGGUCACCAGUGGCGAAGGCGUCUUGCUAGAACAGGUCUGACGGUGAGGGAUGAAAGCCAGGGGAGCGAAGAGGAUUAGAUACCCUUGUAGUCCUGGCUGUAAACGAUGUCCGUUAGGUAUUGUGAUUUUUAAGAGAAAUUAUAGUGCCGUAGGGAAGCCGUUAAACGGACCACCUGGGGAGUACGGUCGCAAGGCUGAAACUUAAAGGAAUUGGCGGG